AUUGAACGCUGGCGGCAUGCUUUACACAUGCAAGUCGAACGGCAGCGCGGGCUUAGGCCUGGCGGCGAGUGGCGGACGGGUGAGUAAUGCAUCGGAACGUGCCCAGGAGUGGGGGAUAGCCCGGCGAAAGCCGGAUUAAUACCGCAUACGACCUGAGGGUGAAAGCGGGGGACCGAAAGGCCUCGCGCUAUUGGAGCGGCCGAUGUCGGAUUAGCUAGUUGGUGGGGUAAAGGCUUACCAAGGCGACGAUCCGUAGCUGGUCUGAGAGGGCGAGGAGCCACACUGAGACGUAGACACGGCCAUGACACCAACGGGAGGCAGCAGUCGAGAAUUUUGCACAAUGCUGGCAAACCUGAUCCAGCCAGGUCGCGUGCGAGAAGAAGGUCAUCGGGUUGUAGAACGCGUUUGUUCGGGAGAAAAGACUAUCAGCUAAUACCCCGGGAGGAUGACGUUACCGGAAGAAUAAGCACCGGCUAACUACGUG
rnacentral:rRNA from 1 species